CUACUCCUCUGUUUUGGUCCUGUAGCUACCACGUUGUAGCAGCGUGAAGUUAAACUACUCCUCUGUUUUGGUCCUGUAGCUACCACGUUGUAGCAGCGUGAGGUUAAACUACUCCUCUGUUUUGGUCCUGUAGCUACCACGUUGUAGCAGCGUGAAGCGUGAGGUUAAACUACUCCUCUGUUUUGGUCCUGUAGCUACCACGUUGUAGCAGCGUGAAGCGCGAGGUUAAACUACUCCUCUGUUUUGGUCCUGUAGCUACCACGUUGUAGCAGCGUGAAGCACGAGGUUAAACUACUCCUCUGUUUUGGUCCUGUAGCUACCACGUUGUAGCAGCGUGAAGCGCGAGGUUAAACUACUCCUCUGUUUUGGUCCUGUAGCUACCACGUUGUAGCAGCGUGAAGCACGAGGUUAAACUACUCCUCUGUUUUGGUCCUGUAGCUACCACGUUGUAGCAGCGUGAAGCGCGAGGUUAAACUACUCCUCUGUUUUGGUCCUGUAGCUACCACGUUGUAGCAGCGUGAAGCGCGAGGUUAAACUACUCCUCUGUUUUGGUCCUGUAGCUACCACGUUGUAGCAGCGUGAAGCGCGAGGUUAAACUACUCCUCUGUUUUGGUCCUGUAGCUACCACGUUGUAGCAGCGUGAAGCGCAGGGUUAAACUACUCCUCUGUUUUGGUCCUGUAGCUACCACGUUGUAGCAGCGUGAAGCGUGAGGUUAAACUACUCCUCUGUUUUGGUCCUGUAGCUACCACGUUGUAGCAGCGUGAAGCGUGAGGUUAAACUACUCCUCUGUUUUGGUCCUGUAGCUACCACGUUGUAGCAGCGUGAAGCGUGAGGUUAAACUACUCCUCUGUUUUGGUCCUGUAGCUACCACGUUGUAGCAGCGUGAAGCGUGAGGUUAAACUACUCCUCUGUUUUGGUCCUGUAGCUACCACGUUGUAGCAGCGUGAGGUUAAACUACUCCUCUGUUUUGGUCCUGUAGCUACCACGUUGUAGCAGCGUGAGGUUAAACUACUCCUCUGUUUUGGUCCUGUAGCUACCACGUUGUAGCAGCGUGAGGUUAAACUACUCCUCUGUUUUGGCCCUGUAGCUACCACGUUGUAGCAGCGUGAGGUUAAACUACUCCUCUGUUUUGGUCCUGUAGCUACCACGUUGUAGCAGCGUGAGGUUAAACUACUCCUCUGUUUUGGCCCUGUAGCUACCACGUUGUAGCAGCGUGAAGCGUGAGGUUAAACUACUCCUCUGUUUUGGCCCUGUAGCUACCACGUUGUAGCAGCGUGAAGCGUGAGGUUAAACUACUCCUCUGUUUUGGUCCUGUAGCUACCACGUUGUAGCAGCGUGAAGCGUGAGGUUAAACUACUCCUCUGUUUUGGUCCUGUAGCUACCACGUUGUAGCAGCGUGAAGCGCAGGGUUAAACUACUCCUCUGUUUUGGCCCUGUAGCUACCAUGUUGUAGCAGCGUGAGGUUAAACUACUCCUCUGUUUUGGCCCUGUAGCUACCACGUUGUAGCAGCGUGAAGCGUAGGGUUAAACUACUCCUCUGUUUUGGUCCUGUAGCUACCACGUUGUAGCAGCGUGAAGCGUAGGGUUAAACUACUCCUCUGUUUUGGUCCUGUAGCUACCACGUUGUAGCAGCGUGAAGCACGAGGUUAAACUACUCCUCUGUUUUGGCCCUGUAGCUACCACGUUGUAGCAGCGUGAAGCGUGAGGUUAAACUACUCCUCUGUUUUGGUCCUGUAGCUACCAUGUUGUAGCAGCGUGAAGCACGAGGUUAAACUACUCCUCUGUUUUGGCCCUGUAGCUACCACGUUGUAGCAGCGUGAAGCGUGAGGUUAAACUACUCCUCUGUUUUGGUCCUGUAGCUACCACGUUGUAGCAGCGUGAGGUUAAACUACUCCUCUGUUUUGGCCCUGUAGCUACCACGUUGUAGCAGCGUGAAGCGCGAGGUUAAACUACUCCUCUGUUUUGGUCCUGUAGCUACCACGUUGUAGCAGCGUGAGGUUAAACUACUCCUCUGUUUUGGUCCUGUAGCUACCACGUUGUAGCAGCGUGAAGCGCGAGGUUAAACUACUCCUCUGUUUUGGUCCUGUAGCUACCACGUUGUAGCAGCGUGAAGCGCGAGGUUAAACUACUCCUCUGUUUUGGUCCUGUAGCUACCACGUUGUAGCAGCGUGAGGUUAAACUACUCCUCUGUUUUGGUCCUGUAGCUACCACGUUGUAGCAGCGUGAAGCGCACCCAUGCACAUGCUUUGUGUGACUGUAUCUCACUCAUCUCUAUAUCUUCGUUGCAACGUCAUCUCGAGGAGUCUACUUUUAAUUCCAUCGUAUCGUCAGCGGACGGUCUCCCAGUUGGGUCAGUACUCUGUCAGUACAUGUCUGUAUGGUGCUGUGUUUUAUGUUGGAAUAAUGCUUCCAGGAGACUGGACCUUGACAGCGUACUGCAUCUGAGAACCCUCCCUUUGUGAUAUUACUGAAACAUAACCAACUGCCAUAUCUACUUAAAAGUUAUAUAUUUUACAAUUUCAACAGAGCAAAACAUUGUAUUUUCAGAUGUGUCAAAUAAAUUAACUUUUUUUUUUUUUUUCAACUUGUACUUAUCUCAGGUCAUAUUUAUCAUAUCCAGAGUGUGUAAAAAAAAAUGUGACUUAAUUUAUUUCACAGAAGGGUACAUUUGUUUAUUUAAACAAAUCAUAUUUCAAAGGUGUAAAUGUCUCCCCUCCCAUAUUAGUCAAUAGAAACAACCAUUUGACUUAGUUCAUUAAAUGUCAGUAGUUACAGUGCCUUCAGGAAGCAUCACAACCCUCAACUGUUCACACAUUUUGUUGUUACAGCAUUCAUUUUUUUUUGAUUUUAUCACUGGCCAGCACAUAACACCCCAUGUCAAAGUUGAAUUGUUUAUUUUUACAAAUGAACUAAAAAUUAAAAGCUGAAAUGUGUAGAGUCAAUCUUAAUUCAACCCCUUUAUGGCAAGCCUACCAAGACGGUGGCCAAGUUACAAUUUUAACUUAAAUCUAUGGCAAUACCUGAAAACGGUGGUCUAGAAAUGAUUAACAACCAAUUUGACAGAGCUUGAAGAAUUUAGAAAAUAAUGUGCAGAUGUUGCACUAUCCAGGUGUGGAAAGUGCUUAUGACUUACCCAGAAACACUCACACCUGUAAUCACUGUCAAAGGUGCUUCUACAAAAUAGUGACUUGGGUGUGAAAACUCAUGUCAAUUAUAUUUAUAUAUAUUUCAUUUAAGUAAAUUUGAAAAUGUGUUUUCACUUUUAUUAUGGGGUAUUUGUGUCUAGAUGGGUGAGGGGAAAAACAGAUCUAUAUAAUCCAGGCUAUAACAAAACAUGUAGAAUAAGUCCAUGGGUAUAAAUACUUUCUGAAGACACUAUAACAAUCAUAUAAAACAACAUGUAAAGUUUUGGUCCCAGGUUUCAUGAGCUGAAAUAAAAGAUCCCAGAAAUGUU